AUGUUUUCCUUCGCCGAGGAUGCGGGUGAGCCGAGUGGCCAGGUCUUUGUCCAUUGUGAUGUGGUCAUCUGUGAUGCCAGUAGUCCCUCUGGCGGCCCCUGUAGUGGACAAUGUGUGAAUCAGGACAACCCGAAAAGAGGACAACGACAUGUCAAAGACCUCUUUGAGGAGCGUCAUUUAUAUGUUUCUUCUGGAUACAUUCUUUGGGUGUAA
rnacentral:lncRNA from 1 species